rnacentral:rRNA from 1 species
GGGUUGUGAGGUUAAGCGACUAAGCGUACACGGUGGAUGCCCUGGCAGUCAGAGGCGAUGAAGGACGUGCUAAUCUGCGAUAAGCGUCGGUAAGGUGAUAUGAACCGUUAUAACCGGCGAUUUCCGAAUGGGGAAACCCAGUGUGAUUCGUCACACUAUCAUUAACUGAAUCCAUAGGUUAAUGAGGCGAACCGGGGGAACUGAAACAUCUAAGUACCCCGAGGAAAAGAAAUCAACCGAGAUUCCCCCAGUAGCGGCGAGCGAACGGGGAGCAGCCCAGAGCCUGAAUCAGUGUGUGUGUUAGUGGAAGCGUCUGGAAAGGCGCGCGAUACAGGGUGACAGCCCCGUACACAAAAAUGCACAUAUUGUGAGCUCGAUGAGUAGGGCGGGACACGUGGUAUCCUGUCUGAAUAUGGGGGGACCAUCCUCCAAGGCUAAAUACUCCUGACUGACCGAUAGUGAACCAGUACCGUGAGGGAAAGGCGAAAAGAACCCCGGCGAGGGGAGUGAAAAAGAACCUGAAACCGUGUACGUACAAGCAGUGGGAGCACGCUUAGGCGUGUGACUGCGUACCUUUUGUAUAAUGGGUCAGCGACUUAUAUUCUGUAGCAAGGUUAACCGAAUAGGGGAGCCGAAGGGAAACCGAGUCUUAACUGGGCGUUAAGUUGCAGGGUAUAGACCCGAAACCCGGUGAUCUAGCCAUGGGCAGGUUGAAGGUUGGGUAACACUAACUGGAGGACCGAACCGACUAAUGUUGAAAAAUUAGCGGAUGACUUGUGGCUGGGGGUGAAAGGCCAAUCAAACCGGGAGAUAGCUGGUUCUCCCCGAAAGCUAUUUAGGUAGCGCCUCGUGAAUUCAUCUCCGGGGGUAGAGCACUGUUUCGGCAAGGGGGUCAUCCCGACUUACCAACCCGAUGCAAACUGCGAAUACCGGAGAAUGUUAUCACGGGAGACACACGGCGGGUGCUAACGUCCGUCGUGAAGAGGGAAACAACCCAGACCGCCAGCUAAGGUCCCAAAGUCAUGGUUAAGUGGGAAACGAUGUGGGAAGGCCCAGACAGCCAGGAUGUUGGCUUAGAAGCAGCCAUCAUUUAAAGAAAGCGUAAUAGCUCACUGGUCGAGUCGGCCUGCGCGGAAGAUGUAACGGGGCUAAACCAUGCACCGAAGCUGCGGCAGCGACGCUUAUGCGUUGUUGGGUAGGGGAGCGUUCUGUAAGCCUGUGAAGGUGUGCUGUGAGGCAUGCUGGAGGUAUCAGAAGUGCGAAUGCUGACAUAAGUAACGAUAAAGCGGGUGAAAAGCCCGCUCGCCGGAAGACCAAGGGUUCCUGUCCAACGUUAAUCGGGGCAGGGUGAGUCGACCCCUAAGGCGAGGCCGAAAGGCGUAGUCGAUGGGAAACAGGUUAAUAUUCCUGUACUUGGUGUUACUGCGAAGGGGGGACGGAGAAGGCUAUGUUGGCCGGGCGACGGUUGUCCCGGUUUAAGCGUGUAGGCUGGUUUUCCAGGCAAAUCCGGAAAAUCAAGGCUGAGGCGUGAUGACGAGGCACUACGGUGCUGAAGCAACAAAUGCCCUGCUUCCAGGAAAAGCCUCUAAGCAUCAGGUAACAUCAAAUCGUACCCCAAACCGACACAGGUGGUCAGGUAGAGAAUACCAAGGCGCUUGAGAGAACUCGGGUGAAGGAACUAGGCAAAAUGGUGCCGUAACUUCGGGAGAAGGCACGCUGAUAUGUAGGUGAAGCGACUUGCUCGUGGAGCUGAAAUCAGUCGAAGAUACCAGCUGGCUGCAACUGUUUAUUAAAAACACAGCACUGUGCAAACACGAAAGUGGACGUAUACGGUGUGACGCCUGCCCGGUGCCGGAAGGUUAAUUGAUGGGGUCAGCGCAAGCGAAGCUCUUGAUCGAAGCCCCGGUAAACGGCGGCCGUAACUAUAACGGUCCUAAGGUAGCGAAAUUCCUUGUCGGGUAAGUUCCGACCUGCACGAAUGGCGUAAUGAUGGCCAGGCUGUCUCCACCCGAGACUCAGUGAAAUUGAACUCGCUGUGAAGAUGCAGUGUACCCGCGGCAAGACGGAAAGACCCCGUGAACCUUUACUAUAGCUUGACACUGAACAUUGAGCCUUGAUGUGUAGGAUAGGUGGGAGGCUUUGAAGUGUGGACGCCAGUCUGCAUGGAGCCGACCUUGAAAUACCACCCUUUAAUGUUUGAUGUUCUAACGUUGACCCGUAAUCCGGGUUGCGGACAGUGUCUGGUGGGUAGUUUGACUGGGGCGGUCUCCUCCUAAAGAGUAACGGAGGAGCACGAAGGUUGGCUAAUCCUGGUCGGACAUCAGGAGGUUAGUGCAAUGGCAUAAGCCAGCUUGACUGCGAGCGUGACGGCGCGAGCAGGUGCGAAAGCAGGUCAUAGUGAUCCGGUGGUUCUGAAUGGAAGGGCCAUCGCUCAACGGAUAAAAGGUACUCCGGGGAUAACAGGCUGAUACCGCCCAAGAGUUCAUAUCGACGGCGGUGUUUGGCACCUCGAUGUCGGCUCAUCACAUCCUGGGGCUGAAGUAGGUCCCAAGGGUAUGGCUGUUCGCCAUUUAAAGUGGUACGCGAGCUGGGUUUAGAACGUCGUGAGACAGUUCGGUCCCUAUCUGCCGUGGGCGCUGGAGAACUGAGGGGGGCUGCUCCUAGUACGAGAGGACCGGAGUGGACGCAUCACUGGUGUUCGGGUUGUCAUGCCAAUGGCACUGCCCGGUAGCUAAAUGCGGAAGAGAUAAGUGCUGAAAGCAUCUAAGCACGAAACUUGCCCCGAGAUGAGUUCUCCCUGACUCCUUGAGAGUCCUGAAGGAACGUUGAAGACGACGACGUUGAUAGGCCGGGUGUGUAAGCGCAGCGAUGCGUUGAGCUAACCGGUACUAAUGAACCGUGAGGCUUAACCUUACAACGCCGAAGCUGUU